UCUGGAGACGGAACUCAGGUUGCCAAGCUUGCAUCAUGGAGUGACAUCGGCCUUUACCUGUUGAGGCAGCUUGCUGUCCCUAUCUACAAUGGUUCAUUUUGAUUGUUCACUCAGUUGGGUCUGGAGUCAACUAGGCAAUAACCUCUGAUUCCAUCUGUGGUGUAUUUCCAAGAAUUGUCUGACAGGAAGAAGACUCUCCCCGAAGAGUCUUGCUUACUUCUUGCUGGCCGAUGACUUUGUCCCACUGUGUCUGUUUUGGCCACCUUUCACUAACACUAGAAGCCAGCUUCUUAGGCCUUCUGGUGUAGACUGAAGAGCUCUCCAGGAGUCCUGCGCACCUUCAUCAGCAGAUUAGGACUGCUGAGGCAUCCAGCUGUGGAGACUGGGCACCUAAUUGGGUUCUCAGUCUCCCUAGCAAGCAGCCAGCCAUUCUGUAAUGCUUAUUCAAUGAGUACUGUCCCUCUAGAGAACCCCGACUAACACCACCUCAUUUUAACUAAUUGUCAGAAAAUGAAACCAAACCACACCAAGUGUUCCCCAAUGCAAUACAGUUUGCAAAGUCUGGGAAAGCAUACUUUUGGAGGUUACUAUUCAAUCUAGCAUAUGGUUCACAUGGAUUUAGAAAGCGUGCACAGAAGAUUCCUGGGAGACCUGCUCGGUAGCCUGCUCAGGAAACCAUGAGGUUGUAACAGAUCUUGGUGGCCUCAAUCUUGGUGGCAGUAAGGAGAAAGGAAGAGUGUAAUUCCAGCACUCGGAGGCUGGCUAUGACCUUUCCUACCUGGAAGUUGGGUCAUUUCCACUCACCUUUCACCCACCAUGCCAUGCUCUUAUGCCUCACUUCAAGGAGGGAGGAGCAGGAAGUAGGGAACUGUUAGCUUCAGGUGUGGAUAGGGGAGUGGACAAGAGAAGUAAGUGUCCCUGGAGGAAGGAUGUGGGUGGAGCAACAGUGUGUGGGGGGAUGGGGGUGAGGAAGACAUUCACAGAGAUACCGCUAGCUGGAGAAGUAUGCAGAUAGGGAGAGAAAAGCUUGGGCUUCUGGGGAUGGUCCCAUUUCCCCAAAACGGGAGAGGGUGGCAGUCUUGAUAGCAGAAACAAAAACCAGGAAAUGUGUCUGAGGCAGUACCUAUUAUUUAAGUGACAGCUGUGCAUGGAUGUUGUCCUGAGAUCUCCACCUGGAGGGCAGAAACUCAGAGCAGAGCCCCAGCCCACACAAAACAGACAUGCGGGGCGGUGUCUUCUUCCAGGGACUCACACAAAGACAGGGAUAAGAGAACCCUCACCUGGACAUGGUGGUUCAGAACUGGAAUUCCAGCACUGAGAAGACCGAGGUAGGAGGACUGUCAUGAGCUUGAGGCUAGCCUGGUCUACAUGGUAAGAUUCUAAGGGGGCUAUUCCUAAUAGCCUGAGUCAGCCCUGUCUGGCCUAUUAAUCUUCCUCCAGAGCCCAUGCAAAAGGAGGGUUCCCCCAGCAAACCUCCCCCCAUCUCUGCCAAGCAGACUUUUAAUUAAGUCCCACACCUGUCCGGUGACAAUUUACAACUUACCAGGCACAGUAUGGAGGGGGGCGGGGCUGAGAAUAGCAGGAUUAACAAAAACACUUAUUUCUUGCCCUAUUGAGAGCCUUUAUGGCAUGACUAUCAGGAAAGCAACUACUGUGAAUCUUCUGAGGUGAGACCCAGCACCACAGACAAAAGACCCAAGAAUCCAUCCUACUGUGGAGACAGAGGGAAAGGCCUCUGGAAAACAUCACCUGAAGCAGAAGCUGCCAGGGCCUCGCCUGACUGGAUGUUCCACCUCCAACAACAACUGACCCUUCUAGCUGAACAUGGCCCUGCCACAGCCAGUCAUGGCAACGUCUUUUUACACCUCUGCCUUAUGCCUCUAUAGGGUGGAGCUUACUUACUCCUGAACACCGUGGUUCCUCCACCCAGGAAAUGUGUCGGCAUGUGUAAGUUGACCCUCAUGCAUCACAAAUGAGAGGCCCUGCUACCAAGACAUAUCAUCUCAAGAUCCCUGUGAAUCAAAGCCCCCAUCCCACCCCUCUUCUCCAUUCCACACUUGGAAGCCAUUGCUCAGCUCCCAGACAGGAAGCCAGCCUGAACUUGGGUAUCAAGCCACUGAUUCUGCCCAGCAGGAGCUGUGAAAGCUAGGCCAUAUUACUCCCUUCUCUGAACCAACAAGGAACUAGCCAAGGAGAAAAAUCAUGAAAGUAGGAAAUAAUUAUGGCCCUAGCUGUAAAUAACCCAGGCCUUGUGUCACAUCUGGUAGCUGCUGGAUGUAGCACUCGAGAGCCAGAGUGUCUUGCUGCUGACUUCUCUCCAUCCACCCUGUGAAGCAAGAAUUCCAGUCCUCAGACACAAGGAAACAGGCUGAGAGAGCAUAGGUAAGUGACUCACAGGAGGCCCUCACAGCUAAUUUCUAGGACCUGCUAUCUGGGAAAACAGAUACC